rnacentral:misc_RNA from 1 species
AGAUGAUGUGCAAAGAGGACAGGUGAUUGCUAAACCUGGAACAGUGAAAACAUACCGGAAGUUUGAAGCAGAGAUAUAUGUCCUCACAAAGGAUGAAGGUGGACGUCAUACUGCUUUCUUUUCCAACUACAGGCCACAGUUUUACAUGAGGACAGCAGAUAUCACUGGGAAAGUGGAGUUGCCUGAAAAUGUUAAGAUGGUUAUGCCUGGGGACAAUGUGACUGCAACUUUUGAACUGAUCUUACCUGUUCCCCUUGAAGCGGGACAAAGAUUUGCCUUGAGGGAGGGAGGUAGAACAGUUGGAGCAGGUGUGGUCUCAAAAGUAGUUGGCUGAGUUGCUCUGAUGCGAGAUAUUUUAGGCUUUUUGUCACCUUGUUCGUUAAAAGAGCUCUAGGCUUUACUGGAGAUAGUGAUCGCAAAUGAGUUAAUUCGAAAGAACGGUGGUCUUCAAGUCCCUCAUCCAUAG